rnacentral:rRNA from 1 species
AUGGAGAGAAUGACGUCCUCCUAUUUCAAGGAGAUCUUUACAAAGGACCCAACUCUCUCUCCGGAUGCGGUUCUUGACUGUAUUCAGCAGAAAGUUACACCGGAGAUGAAUGAGUCACUAUGUAGACCAUAUACCGAGGAGGAAAUCUCGGAUGCUUUGUUCCAAAUCGGGCCUCUCAAAGCCCCGGGCUGCGAUGGCUUCCCAGCCAGAUUUUACCAGCGAAACUGGGGUUUAGUAAAAACUGAGAUUGUUGCGGCUGUUCAAGAAUUCUUCUCUUCAGGUGUGAUGACUGAUGGUGUGAACGACACGGCUAUAGUGCUUAUUCCUAAAGUUCCCCACCCUCAGGAACUGAAAGAUUUCCGGCCUAUUAGCUUGUGUAAUGUGCUUUACAAGGUUGUUUCAAAGUGUAUGGCGAACAGACUACGACCUCUUCUGUCAGAACUCAUAUCUGAGAACCAGAGCGCUUUCAUCCCAGGAUGAUUGAUUUCUAACAAUUCGGUUAUUGCGUUUGAAUGCAUCAAUCAUAUUCAGACUGUACGACACUCUGGUCCCGGGCUGUGUGCGUACAAGCUAGACCUGUCCAAGGCCUACGAUCGCGUGGACUGGGUUUUUCUGGAGCGUGCCUUGGCAAAAUGGGGCUUCUCUCCCCUAUGGAUCUCCCGUGUCAUGGCGUGUGUGUCAUCUGUAAAGUACUCGGUGAAGUUUAAUGGGAAGUUGCUGGAAUUUUUCUCUCCUUCGAGAGGACUUCGUCAAGGUGACCCGAUAUCUCCCUUCCUGUUCUUGUUUGUUGCUGAUGCUCUCUCUUCCUUGAUUCAUAAGGUGACGCGACAAGAUGGCCUCGAAGGGAUAAGAAUUUGCAGGGCACCAGAAAUCUCCCACCUUCUGUUUGCGGAUGAUUCUCUACUGUUUUUCCAGGCAACAGAGCAUCAGGCACUGCUAGUGAAAGGUUUGUUGAACACGUUUGCGACGGCGACUGGCCAACUGAUUAACCCGUCCAAAUGUUCCAUCCUCUUCUCAAACCAGUGUCCACUGAAUGUUGCACUGCAAGUAAAAAAUAUCCUGGAGGUUACCCAGGAAGCUUUUGAACCCAAAUAUUUGGGCUUGCCGAUCCCCGAUGGCAGGAUGCACAAGGGGAAGUUUGAGUCCUUACAGGAACGGCUCAGGAAAGUUCUUGUUUACUGGAGUGAGCAGUACAUGUCUUCAGGCAACAAAGAGGUUCUGAUUAAGUCGGUAGCUCAAGCCAUUCCGACAUAUACCAUGGGUAUUUUCAAACUCCCCUAUUCAGUGUGUGAUGACCUGUCUCGCAUGAUACGCCAAUACUGGUGGGGGAUGGAGAAUGGCAAAAGGAAAAUGGCCUGGUUGAGCUGGGAUAAACUACGGUUACCUAAAUCCAUGGGGGGCAUGGGUUUUCGGGACAUGAGGGCUUUUAACCAGGCUUUGCUCGCCAAACAGGCCUGGAGGCUCAUCGACAAGCCAGAUAGCUUAUGUGCGCGUCUGUUGAAAGCUAAAUAUUACCCCUUUGGACAGCUCCUCGAUACAGUCUUUCCGAGCUCCGGUUCGGAGGUGUGGAAAGGAGUUUUGCAUGGCCUGGAGCUUGUCAAGAAGGGGGUCAUAUGGCGUGUUGGUAAUGGUACUAUGAUCCGGACGUGGCGAGACCCGUGGAUUCCGCACCCUCAAUCAUUCCGUCCAAUUACUCCUAAAUGUAAUUGUCGUUUCAACUGGGUUUCUGAUUUCCUUGAUGACAAUGGUGCAUGGAGAUUUGAUCGGCUGAGGGAGUUUUUCUGGGAGAUGGAUGUUGAGCACAUUCUGAAGAUCAGACCCUCGCCGCGCCAACGUGAUGAUUUUCUUUCUUGGCACCCAAAAAAAGUGGCCAAUUCACUGUAA